UACGAAGGGGGCUAGCGUUGUUCGGAAUUACUGGGCGUAAAGCGCGCGCAGGCGGCUAUCCAAGUCAGUGGUGAAAGCCCGGAGCUCAACUCCGGAACUGCCAUUGAAACUGUUUAGCUUGAGGAUGAGAGAGGUGAGUGGAAUUCCCAGUGUAGAGGUGAAAUUCGUAGAUAUUGGGAAGAACACCGGUGGCGAAGGCGGAUCUCUGGGCCUUACCUGACGCUCAGGUGCGAAAGCUAGGGGAGCGAACAGG
rnacentral:rRNA from 1 species